rnacentral:lncRNA from 1 species
CUGCAGCUAGAUCCAAAAAGCCUAAUUUAAUCUUAAUAUCUAAUAACAUGUAUUUCACCAAAUCCAGAUUCCAGAAUUCAAGGCCUUCUCUUAUUCAGAGUGUUUCAAAGUUCCAAGGAGCUUCAAGAGCCCAGGCAAUGCUUACACUCUGAAGAGCAAAAAUUGUAACAGAAUAGUGCAAGUGUGGAAUUACCAGCCCUCAGGCAUCCAAGUUCAGAGAGAGCUCUAGGGUCUCUAAGCAUGGCUUACCAAAAGGGGGUUGAACAUAAGAACUAGGAAUGAGUGCAAAGUGAGAGGGUAACCAUAGUAGAGGGUGGUCAUACCCAGCCAUGGCAUAGCCUAGCACACCCCUGACCCUUUGCUUAGGUCAAACAAAUAAGAGCAGACUCCAGGGAGUCAAACUUAGGGUCUGAGUGGUGAUUAGGACACUAUCAGACCCAAGUUAAAGCUCAACACAUAAAAGGGAAGGGGGAAAGGGAAAGUAUUUGGGUAGAGACUAAGGAGAGUCUGAUUCUAGAUCAUGGACAGCAAUGUCAAAUGCUGCCAUGAUUCAGAAUAGUACUAGCACACAAAAUGGGAAUAGGCGGAAGGGAUUUCCAUACAGUGCAUACACUGACAUUAAAAAUAUAAUAAAGUAUAGCAGACUGCAGAUGCAAAGACAUAGAAGAACAUGCUAUAGAACAUGAACACACAGUGAAGAAUGGGUAGAAGAAGAGAAGUGAAUACACAUAGUAGGAGAGGGUUAUUUGAAUUAAAAGUACAUACCAAUUCCCAGUUCUAGUACAUUAGAGAAAGAACAACAAUAAACAACUAGAAAGAGUUAACAGGAGCAACUUAGAACUUCAGGAAGUACUUGGGAGUUCUGAAGAACACCUGAAAUAUUCAGACAGUAUGAGAUAAAGGAACAGAGUGCUCAGUAGCAGUAGAGAAGGUAGUAGUAGAGAAUGUAGUAGUAGAGAAAAUAGUAAAGAAAGACAAGGGUGAUUAUGUAUUGCAAAGGUUCAGAAAGAAUUCUAAGAGCUGUGUUGUGUUCGAGUGUUUUUGUAAAGAACUUGUGUGAACUUGUGAGAGUUGUGAGCAUUAAUAGUGCAAAAAUGAGUAGACAAGAAGGCAAGGAAAUAAAAUCUCAGUUAAUCAAAUAAAAUCUCCCUUAGUCAAAGGGAUUUGAUUCCAAACGGGAGUGGCAAUUAAGGGAAGAAAAACCUUUUAGAGUAGCAUAUUGAAGGGUAGGUUCAUACAGAGUCUAUUUAAGGUAAGAAACUAUAGUACACACUUUUGAAGGAAUAACGAAACAAAGUAAUCAAACAGUCGGAAAUUCAAAAACCUUGAAUGAACUUAGUCAACAAAAUAGGGAAAAGGCUAAGUUGUAAAAAUCAGUAGCAAAUCAAUCGAGCAUUAGUAAAAGGAUAUUGAAAUCAAUCACAAGCUAAUAGAAUCAACUCAGAAGAAAACCCUCGUAUAUAAGCUUGCUAACAUCAAGCAAGGAAGAAGAGAUCGAUAUAAACAGUUUUUGAAUCAUAAGCAAAAGAAAAGCUAGUUCCAAUUUAGUCUAUAAACUCAACAUGAAUUUGAGAGCCUAUGGUUUCUAGGGUAGAACCCUAUAACCAAAAGCUCGCAAGAAUCCUAGAGACAAUGAUUUAGUCCUAGUAGGACACAGAAAAGAGAAAGAAAAUUCUCACAAUAAGCCUGGGGAACUCGUUUAGAGUUCUCUGAGGAAAUACACAAACACACGUUGCAAUCAGAAGCAGUGGAGUGACAAAGUUCGUGAAGAACAAGUUCUUUAGAAAAACUCGAACUAAAACUAGUUCAGAAGAUAGAGGAGAUGCCAUAGAAAUUUAGGAAGCAGUAAAAGAAGCAAGUUCAUAACCCACAUAAAUCCAGUAAAAGUAAACACAUUCAAUAGGAGAAAUAGUAAAAAGAAAAGGCAAGGCAAGUUUGUAAACAUGCUUAUAGAAAAAAUCAGCAGAGGUAGUAAUAGAACAAAGACAGAGAAACAUGCAUAUUAACGGCAAAUCAUAAGAACCAAAGGAAAACCACCCUAAAGCAUGGUAUGAACACACAGAUCACACAAACAAAGAAGAAGAAGAAGCGUUUUAGGAUUUUUGAAAACCCUAAUUAGAAUAGCUUAUUUUUUGAAAAGGAAAAUUAGGGAAAGUCGUUAGAACAUAAAAUAGAGCACAGAUCUGCUACAGAUCUAGGAAAACAAGGAAAGAAGAACCUUGAAUCAAGAUUUUUAGUGUUUCUCAGAAAACCCUAAGACGAUAAGGCCUGGAAUGGUCUGGUCUUGGAACAAAUCUGGGCCCUGGCUAAGCCUUUCAGAGCUCGAACACACCGGAAUAGCCAGAGAAGCCAAAGGAACUUAGGUCGGCGUAGGACCUGAAUAGUUCUGUUGAAGGUCAGUCCUUGAAUGCCUUGUGAAAGGGGGGAAAAUAUACGUUGUCCAUGGCCUGAGAAGCCAUGGACGGCGAUGGAUUUGGUCGAAGACGAAGCUAGGCAGCUAGGAUUUAGAGAGCAUUUGAGAGGAGAAGGGAUUUGGG